GGAGUCGUACACAUGCGUGUCGAGCGGAACGAGAAGUAGCUUGCUACUUCGGCGUCGAGCGGCGGACGGGUGAGUAAUGCAUAGGAAGUUGCCCAGUGGAGGGGGAUAACCAUUGGAAACGAUGGCUAAUACCGAAUAACCUCUUCGGAGCAAAGCGGGGGACCUUCGGGCCUCGCGCUACUGGAUACGCCUAUGUGGGAUUAGCUAGUUGGUGAGGUAAUGGCUCACCAAGGCGACGAUCCCUAGCUGGUCUGAGAGGAUGAUCAGCCACACUGGGACUGAGACACGGCCCAGACUCCUACGGGAGGCAGCAGUGGGGAAUAUUGCACAAUGGGCGAAAGCCUGAUGCAGCCAUGCCGCGUGUAUGAAGAAGGCCUUCGGGUUGUAAAGUACUUUCAGUUGUGAGGAAGGGUGUGUAGUUAAUAACUGCGCAUUUUGACGUUAGCAACAGAAGAAGCACCGGCUAACUCCGUGCCAGCAGCCGCGGUAAUACGGAGGGUGCGAGCGUUAAUCGGAAUUACUGGGCGUAAAGCGCAUGCAGGUGGUUUGUUAAGUCAGAUGUGAAAGCCCGGGGCUCAACCUCGGAAGGUCAUUUGAAACUGGCAAAC
rnacentral:rRNA from 1 species